UACGAAGGGGGCUAGCGUUGUUCGGAAUUACUGGGCGUAAAGCGCACGUAGGCGGAUCGAUCAGUCAGGGGUGAAAUCCCAAGAGCUCAACUCUGGAACUGCCUUUGAUACUGUCGAUCUAGAGUAUGGAAGAGGUGAGUGGAAUUCCGAGUGUAGAGGUGAAAUUCGUAGAGAGUCGGCAGGAACACCCAGGGGGAAACCAGCCGAACUGGGCAUCUAGCUGACGCUGAGGUGCGAGACGCGUGGGGAGCGAACCGG
rnacentral:rRNA from 1 species